rnacentral:ncRNA from 1 species
AAGAAUUCCCCACCGGGGGAGGCCAGUUACGCUUACUUUCAUUAGGUCAUUGAAGAAAGUGAGCAGUAGCUGGCUUUUAU